CUGACUGAGAGCCAGAGAGCAGUGAUUGGUCAGAUCAUAGAUACUAUAGAAGACAGCGCGCUAGCGUAUCUAGUCUGCUAUAUAUAUUUAUGGUUAGCAUGUCUGGUAACGUCUCUGGCUGCUGUUGACCUUGUUUUUGGAGUAAAACAAGGUGGAAGCUGAAUUAGUGAGGAUGACUCCUGCUCCUGUCAUCUCUAAGCUCCUCACACAUCUUUACCUGCACAUGAGGAAAAUCACUCCUGUAGAAUGCAGAUGUUCAGAGGGAGAUGAUGCCACAUCUGGUCCAGCCGAUGGAUGGUCUUGAAGUUCUCUGACUGGCCUCGACUGAAGAUGGUCGUCUCACUGGAUUUAAGGUUCAGAUGCUCAGUAACAAACUCCACCAAUGAGCCAACAGGGAAGCUUUAGGUUUAUUAAAUGUUGCUAUGAAGGUUUCACUGUUUUUCUUUGUGAAUGCAAUGUGCUCCAACUGAAACUUGAAUUAGAACUGAGAAGUAAAUCCUUCCAUCUGAAAGGAUUUAGUUGCAUUAAUAACCUCAUAACAUUCUAAUUUUUAUUCCAGUCUUGGUUGAAAAUAGAAUCUCUGUAUUGAUUCAGGUAAAAACUGAACUUCACAGUAUGUUGGAGCAAAACAACCAGAUGAAAACUGUGAUGGUGUUGGAUUGUCAGACCGUAAUGUUGCAGCUCAAAGCAGCUUUUCUAUCUCAGUUCAUUCUGACAUUCAGCUAUGAAUCAACACAGCAGAUGGUGAUCCAUGCUGUGGAAGUCUCACAUCUCCUGAUUUAAUGGAGCUGCUUUGCACUUUUUACACUGUUUAUUCACCAACACUUUAUUUAAUAAAAAUCCCAUCUAGUUUUUAUGAGGAAUGUGAUGUUUUAAUUUCUCUGUGAAUAACUGCAGUCUAAUGGAACAGCUGGAGUUGUAACAUCUGUCCUGAUAUUGAUCAUGAAGUAUUGAUCAGAAUACUUAUGGUUAGCAGUCAUCCCUGAAGUUUUACAUUAAAAUCUUUACUUGUGUUGUGAACUUUGGUAAGAAGCAGAAACUUUAGCGUUGCCAUGGAUACAUGAGUGUUAAAUUCUGUCCAUGUUUCCAUUUUGGGAAAUUCAGUCCAGUUCCAGAAUGUGGAGGAAUUUAGUCUUACAAUCACAGACAACAAAUAUUAUCUGAAAGUCGGGUUAUUGUUGUUUAUCAGCACAAUACAAAAAGAUUAAUGUUAGAAAUAUUCCAGUUAAGACUCUAGAAUAUCAUGAUUUAUGUAAAUUUACCUCAAUAAUAUGAAUGUUCAGGUUAAGAUUGUGCAGUGAUAUUAUGUAAGUUUAGCUGAUUAAAGUUUAUGACUCUGCACUAAAAUAUUAUUUAAAUUGACAUUAUUAUAAUAUUUAGGGUCAGACCCUACAGUAUUGAGAUUAAGAAAUCAAAUAUUCUAUAAAAUGUAAAUACACUGAACUCAUUUGGAUAUAUUUAAGUGAGACUCUACAAUAUUAUUUGACACAAAUCUAUCUAAAUCAAAAUUUUAAUAAUUUUCACGCCAAACAUUUACUGGACUGAUUUAAAUAUUAAAAUCACUCCUUUCUAAUCCUCUGCUGUACGUUCAAACCUGAGGCCUUAAAUAGAAACACACAAGUAUCUGAUUGAAGGAACUUCUGUAGAGUCCUGGUUCCAGAACAUGAUGAUAGAAACAAACUUUAACAAAAGCUGCCUGAGAGUUUACAGGUUUUUAUGUUGGAUUUCUUCAGUAAUUUAAUGAGCGUUAUCAGCAAUAAUCAAGUGUUCAUUUGAUGAACUUCAUUUCCUAAUACAUCCAGAAUUGGAGCUCAUAUCUUUUGCAGCUGUAAAGUUUCUGCUCCUUCAAAGUUCACAACACAAUGAAUGAAUUCCUAAAACACUCUCAAUGCUGAAGCAGUGAUCAGUUUUUUUGUUUCUUCUCUGGAGAUGCACAAUGAGGGACGUCUGCAGUGACUGAGAAAGAGUCUCACCACAUCCUGACAUGAGGAAAAAGACUUUAUUGAAGACUACAAUGAGAAAAACUAUCAGACAGCAGACGGCUGCAUUCAAGGUGAGCUCUGAACAUCUAAUCUGGAACAGGAAUUCAAUAACGGAUGAAUCAUCUGGCACAAGAGAAGAAGACCAUCAAACAUCCACGUCAGCUGAUGGAGGUCCAAGAGUCUCACCGAACAACCAACCUACAGAGUGAAGACCUCCAAUCUGAUUGGACGGCCUCCUAUUCAGCCACAUUUUAGGCUGUUAGAUUGUUCCAGAUAAGACAAGUACAAGAUUCUUCAGAGCCGUUCUACCACGAGCCUGACAGGAAGAACUCCAACAGCUACUGAAUGUUCCUGUGGUUCCCUCAAGGCUACAGGAGGAGCCCUAUGAGGACGAGCCAGUCCACCUGAUGGAGGCCAGUCGCUGCGGUUCAAAGCCAACACAGACUACGUGGACUUCUACUGGACCACACGGAGGCCUUCAAACCGGACCAACAAGUUCACGACUCCCCGACUCGUGGGUCUGAGGACGCCGCCGAGCCUCGGUCCAGCCGGCCGCCUGUCUGUGGGUGUUUGAGUGCUGAGAGGUUUGUGGAUGCAUGUGAACGUGUCUGUGUUGAAACAGCAGCUUUUGACUUAGUAACACCGCUAAAAACCAAGAGCUCCUUUAUUUGUGACUUCCACUAAAAAACUGAUGAAAAUAAGUUUGCCAGGGUUCUGACUGAUCACAGAUUAUUAAAUAAUGAAAAUAAUCGUUUAAAUAUUCCCUUAAACAAUGCUUUUAGGUCUACAUUUCCUUUACACUGACUUCUUGGUAUAUGUACAAGUAUUUUGGGUGGAAUAUACCAUUAAGCCUAAUGUUCAAGGGUUCUUCUGGGAAUAUACCAUUAAACCAACCUUUUAGGUAAAUGUUCCAGGAUGUUGGGUAGAAUAUACCAUCAGAUCAACCUUUUAGGUCUACAUUGGAAGAUUUUAGAGUAGAAUAUUACUCCAAACCAUCCUUUAGGUCUACAUUUAGGGUGGAAUACUCCUUUACACCAAUAUUUUUUUGGUCGACAUUGAAGGAUUUUAGGUGGAAUAUUCCUUGUAAACUUACUCUUUCAAAUAAAUAGUCGCCUAACCCCCUGGAAACCAGCGUUUGUCCUGUUUUUGUGUUGCUCCUCAGCGACCCUAGACAGCUGGGUCGUAAUGUUUUUUGAGCAACACACCAUACUAUGACGUUUUUACAAUGAUGGUUCUACUAUGGAACCAGUUUGACAUGUUCAGUUGUUCUUUGUGUGAAAACUCAGAGAUUUCAGGUAUCAGAAGGUGGUUUUCAACUUUGUUAACUUUCUGCCUCAACUUUAAACUAAAUUUCCUUCACUAAGCCAGCCCUCUGGACUUCCAGGAAGCUGUGUUCCCAUUGGCUGUCCAGGUGGCUGCUUGGUGUUAUCAGGAACACCUGAGCAGCUCAGUCUCUUCCUGCUUUAUUUAGGUGCAGACAAACAUUUCCUCUGGUUCUCUUCACCACUGAACUGGGUUUGGCUCCAUUGCUUUAGUUUGUUCUUUAGGCGUUGGCUUGCAGCUUCCAGCAGUAAAAUCGUCUUUAAUGUGUUUCUUGGUGUGUUUUAGGGCUUUGUACUGGAUAGUUGUCUUGGUAAAUGUGGUUCUUUAGCCACAGUUAGCACAUGGUGCUAAUGUGUGCAGUGAUUAGUGGAUUUGGUGCAGCUGAGUUGUGUCUUUAUCUUGGCUGUAGUGAGUCUUUAGAGGUUUUUGGUCAGACACAUUCUGUAUUCUUGUUGGUGAACUAACGUUGGUUGUCCAGAAGGUAAGAGUUCCUGUCCUGAUUCUCUGUUCUCAGAGGUUCUCUGGUAGGCUGCAGGAGACUUUAACAUUUGGGUUGUGCUAGUUUGGUUUUUGUAUGGUUUCAUUUGGACGACUAUCUUGAGGCCCCUCCAUGUGGUUUAGUGAGGUUUUCUGCAACAGUUCUACAAAGCAAUCUGCAGCAGAAGAGACUUUGAGAGUUUUUAGGAAGUUCUGGAGACCAGACUUUAGAGCAGCAGAAACAUUUGUCAGCAGUUUGAGCAGGAGAAGGUGAGCUUCAGAGUAGAAAUGAGGCAGAAACUUUCUUGACCCGUGUGGUGAGAAGAGUCUGUAGUUCUUUGGUCUGAAAGCACAAGAAGAGUCGACUGAUUAAAGGAGAAAACAGGAGAUAUUGUUGGUUCUUCUGUCACUCUGCAGUUUCCUUAGACUGAAUAUCAAGUUUAUAUUUUAAAUGAUUUCCCAUGUGAGCCCAAGAAGACUUCAAUAAACUCCCUCUAUCCCCUGGACACAACAUAUUUUAUAACCAUGUUAAAUCUUUUUUUUAAAAUGUUUUUGAGUUUUAAUCAUAGUUUUAGCAUAGUUUUAUUCUCUUUGCUUGUUUAGUUUUGUCAUCUGUGUGAAAGGUGCUAAACAAA